GACGAACGCUGGCGGCGUGCUUAACACAUGCAAGUCGAACGGAAAGGCCCUGCUUGCAGGGUACUCGAGUGGCGAACGGGGGAGUAACACGUGGGGGAUCUGCCCUGCACUUCGGGAUAAGCCUGGGAAACUGGGUCUAAUACCGGGUAGGAGCCAUUUUGAGUGUGAUGGUUGGAGAGUUUUUUCGGUGUGGGAUGAGGUCGCGGCCUAUCAGAUUUUUGGUGGGGUAAUGGCCUACCAAGGCGGAGACGGGUAGCCGGACUGAGAAGGUGGCCGUCCUCAGUCGGACUGGGAGUGAGCCCCGGCUCCGACGCGUGGGGGAGGUGGCGAAGGUUGAUCUAGCGGAGUGAGCCAGAGGCUGCGGCGCCCCUGCGGGGAUGAUGGUGUUGGGGUUAGAAUUGUCAAACUCUUUGGACGAAGCCUUUUAUGACGGUACCUGGAGAAGAAGCACCGGCUAACUUCGUG
rnacentral:rRNA from 1 species